ACUCAGCGUCGCGACUGGCGUGUUGGGGUGGAAUCGACCACCGGGGAGCGACUGGGUACACGGUGGCGUCGCGCGCCUGGGUGUCAGCU
rnacentral:ncRNA from 2 species